rnacentral:rRNA from 1 species
GAUGAACGCUGGCGGCGUGCCUAAUACAUGCAAGUCGAGCGAACAGACGCGGAGCUUGCUCCUCUGACGUUAGCGGCGGACGGGUGAGUCACACGUGGAUAACCUACCUAUAAGACUGGGAUAACUUCGGGAAACCGGAGAUAAUACCGGAUAAUAUAUUGAACCGCAUGGUUCAUUGGUGAAAGACGGUUUUGCUGUCACUUAUAGAUGGAUCCGCGCCGCAUUGGCUAGUUGGUCAGGUAAAGGCUUACCAAGGCAAGGAUGCGUGGACGAACUGCGAGGGGGAUAGGCCACCCGGGAACUGAGACACGGUCCAUACUCCUACGGUAGGCACCAGUAGGGAAUCUGACGCAAUGGGCGAAAGCUUUACGGAGCGACGCCGCGCGAGAGAUGGAGGUGCUCGGAUCGGAAAACCCUGCUUUGAGGGAAAAACAAAUGUGGAAGUUACUAUGCACUGAUUGACGGUACCGAGUCAGAAAGCCACGGCUAACUACGUG